CUCAUCUGCCAUUCGUAUUAGUGCAGCUUCGCGUCUUCCCUCGAGUAAAUCAAGAUUGACCUGCAUCUCUUCACUAUUGGAUUCUUCGGUUGCCUGUACAAACCGUGUGCUUAGGUCUCCUAUCUCGACUGGAAUCAAAGACUCGUCACCAUAAAUCAGUGGAAAUGAUAUUUCUCCCGUGCUCAUCUUUGUAGUUGUACAAUAAUCCCAUAA
rnacentral:lncRNA from 1 species